AGUGAACGCUGGCGGUAGGCCUAACACAUGCCAGUCGAACGGCAGCACAGUAAGAGCUUGCUCUUACGGGUGGCGAGUGGCGGACGGGUGAGGAAUACAUCGGAAUCUACUUUUUCGUGGGGGAUAACGUAGGGAAACUUACGCUAAUACCGCAUACGACCUACGGGUGAAAGCAGGGGAUCUUCGGACCUUGCGCGAUUGAAUGAGCCGAUGUCGGAUUAGCUAGUUGGCGGGGUAAAGGCCCACCAAGGCGACGAUCCGUAGCUGGUCUGAGAGGAUGAUCGGCCACACUGGAACUGAGACGCGGACCAGACUCCUACGGGAGGCAGCAGUGGGGAAUAUUGGACAGUGGGCGCAAGCCUGAUCCAGCCAUACCGCGUGGGUGAAGAAGGCCUUGGGGUUGUAAAGCCCUUUUGUUGGGAAAGAAAAGCAGCAGGUUGAUACCCCGCUGUUCUGACGGUACCCAAAGAAUAAGCACCGGCUAACUUCGUG
rnacentral:rRNA from 1 species